CAGUAUGUAGCUCAGUUGGUAGAGGGCUUGCCUAGCAGGCACGAAGCCCUGGGUUUGAUUCCCAGCACUGG
rnacentral:tRNA from 1 species